CGGUGGUCUCUGCCUGUCUCUUUCUCGUCUUCUUCUCUUCUUGCUCUCCCAGGAAGCAAUUGCUGAGCUCUUUCGCCGCCUUUUCCCCAAAUGAGCUCGGAGCUCUCUCUCUUAUAUAUCGCCCUUGCAAAUUUUAUAUGAGGGUAGGAGGGAUCAGUGUUGUCUUGCUUGGUUUCCGUGGCUUUUGCUUGCUCUCCGGGGGACUAGAAGCCUGGAUUGGGGGAACACCGGAGGGAGGAGGAAGCCAUGGAGGCUGAUUGCUGGAGCCGCUUCUCGGCCGCCUCGAAGCGCCACCAGUCCGUCCUCCAAUCCCGAUUCGAUUUGUGCCUUGGGUAUGAGGAGAUCGAUGGAGGGGCUGAGGAUUCGAGCGCAGAGUUCCGGUGUCCGUUCUGCUCCGAGGAUUUUGAUAUCGUGGGGCUCUGCUGCCAUAUCGACGAAGAGCACCCGGUUGAGGCCAAAAAUGGGGUAUGUCCUGUUUGUGCAUCUAGGGUUGGCACGAACAUGGUUGGGCACUUAACAGUGCAUCAUGCGAGUUUCUUUAAGAUGCAGUGUAGGAGGAGAUUCCGUAAAGGUUCAUCAGGGUCGCAUUCUACACUUUCUUUGUUGAGAAAGGAUCUGCGAGAAGGGAAUCUACAAUCUCUUUCUGGGGGGUCUUCAUUUACAUUUUCUCCCUCCAAUGCUGCACCUGAUCCAUUGCUGUCAUCAUUUAUUCUUAACUUUCCAGUGGCUGAUUUAUCAAAAGAUGUAAAGCCUGAAUCCUUGAAUGACAAAACUUCAGAUGAGAAAGCAGUAGAAAGGUCACCAUGCAAUAUCCCAUUGGAAUGGUAGCCAUGCCACCCUUAAGUCACUACAGCAACUAACCUAUAUGUGAUUCAAUUUUGUAAGAGGACAGAAAGGAGUGAAAAGUCCACCCCAUAUCUCUGCAUGUCAUUUAGUGACUAAUUGAGCAUUUAAUUUGUUAACUUUUCCUUCAGUGUUGGGCCAUCUCUAUCCAAGAAAGACAAGGAGGAGAGAACUUGGAGGAGCAAGUUUGUGCAGGAGCUUGUGUUGUCCACAAUAUUUGGUGAUUCCUUAUGAGGGGAAUUCCCCCUUCAUUCAUGGUGACAGCAGCGGCCGCAGCCAAUGACGAUGACGCCCAAAGAUGGUCCCUGGGCAGCUGCAUUGUUGCUAUCAUGACAUGCUGGCCAGAUGCCAGAAGAGGGUUAUUCUGGGGGUUAUAUUUAAACUGUCUUAUUACGGCGGAGAGAAGAGAGCAUAGAAUGUAUUAUAUUAUUAGUACCUAGAUUUGGAGGGAUUCUUAAUUCCCCCUUUAGUGGGCAUAGCUGUACAUACAUGGAAAACUACUCGAACAGAGCUUGGUCAAGCAUCUUUUCUGUUCUCCAUAAAGUUUUAGACCUGUCAUCUUGAUUUAAUGCCCUAAGCUUUUGCUCAAGAUUUAAUGGACUAAGCUGCUCAUUCUACUGACUCUUGUACCUGACCUACUGCAUGUGUUAAUGCUAUCCAUCAGUCAUAUGAUUCAAGCGUGUUUAA